UGCAGUCGAGCGAUGGAUUGAGAGCUUGCUCUCAAGAAGUUAGCGGCGGACGGGUGAGUAACACGUGGGUAACCUGCCCAUAAGACUGGGAUAACUCCGGGAAACCGGGGCUAAUACCGGAUAACAUUUUGAACUGCAUGGUUCGAAAUUGAAAGGCGGCUUCGGCUGUCACUUAUGGAUGGACCCGCGUCGCAUUAGCUAGUUGGUGAGGUAACGGCUCACCAAGGCAACGAUGCGUAGCCGACCUGAGAGGGUGAUCGGCCACACUGGGACUGAGACACGGCCCAGACUCCUACGGGAGGCAGCAGUAGGGAAUCUUCCGCAAUGGACGAAAGUCUGACGGAGCAACGCCGCGUGAGUGAUGAAGGCUUUCGGGUCGUAAAACUCUGUUGUUAGGGAAGAACAAGUGCUAGUUGAAUAAGCUGGCACCUUGACGGUACCUAACCAGAAAGCCACGGCUAACUACGUGCCAGCAGCCGCGGUAAUACGUAGGUGGCAAGCGUUAUCCGGAAUUAUUGGGCGUAAAGCGCGCGCAGGUGGUUUCUUAAGUCUGAUGUG
rnacentral:rRNA from 1 species